CGGCGCGCGUGCGCAGUGCCUCCCAGCCCAGGCUGUUCCUGAAAUGUACGCGUGUUGAGACACAGGGAGGAAAGCUGGACGUCCAUCCUACAGGAGGGCUGUGGCGAAGACGCUUUGGCCCAGUGGGGAAGGACGCGGACUGGCACGUAGUGGCACAGCCGUUCAAACCCCGGACGAACCUGGGGUACAGACAGACGGGGAUGCUGGAGAGUGCGCCCCACACGGAAGCCGCAGCCCCUGCUCCGCGCUAUGCAAAUUAUCUGUAGGGAGAUCCGCGCUUCCAGUUCUGCACUUCCGCCCGCGCUUCUAAAGGCCGGACUUCUAGCUCUCCGAUCCUUAGAAAAACCCAGUCAGAAUUUUAACAACAACAACAACAACAACAAACACACACACACACACACAUCCCGCAAAACAACAACAAAAUCCCCGCUUCUGCGCUCUCUAGUGUUUCAUUUUCCCUAAAUGCGUUUCUGCAGUCAAUAAUUUGACUCAGCAAUUCAGCUUCAGAUCAUUAUCCUACUGGACAUCCAUCUGUGCCUCGAGGCUGCUUCAAGGAGCCUCUUGACUAUAUAUAUUGUGUAUUAUAAUGCAGUGACAACUGGCCCCGUAACGAUGGCUGGUGUAUAAGUUUCUCAAACUCUACAAGAGUUUAAGAAAUAACCUGUGUGCGAGGCACAGAAGUUCUUUUGCUCUCAGAUAAGCACUAAGAACACCAGGAAUGUUAAAUACCCAGGGAUGUCUGUUCAGUGAGAGAGACGUAUGACUUGUCUUCUGCCCAGAAGGCUGAGAGUGGAUGUGGUUAAUAGCCUGUGACCUGAGACUGAUAGACUGAGACCUCACCAGUUCCUCUCUGGACCCUUAUGGUUGAGCAUGUUUUUCUCAGUCUAUGGAAACUGCCGUUCUGAAGAUGUCACAUGUACUUUACAAAGAGUUUCAGUGCAGUCAUGUUUUAAGCUUUGCUAUGCACAGGCGAUUGGGUUAAUUAUCACCAGGAAAGUUUUCACCAAAUAAACUACUUAGGGUCAGACUCGAAAGUUUGAACCACCACUGGCUACUUAAUUGUGUUGACUUGCACAACCUUCUUGUUUUCUACAGAUCAUCACUCUGCUGACCUUAGUGACCACAGAGACACUCCCCCA